ensembl:lncRNA
CUUAGCAACUCAGUGAACAGAAUAAAAAAAAGGAUGAUCUAAAGAGGUGAUCUAAAGAGACCCGAGAGUUCCAAGCGGGGAAGGGUCACUGCUGGGGUGUAAAAGCUUGGGGAGUUGGCAGAAGACUGAGGAAUGGUUGUUGGAUUUUAGACAUUUGGAGAUCACUGAGAAUUUACUAAGAUCUGGUUUUGUGUUAAGGAGCUAGAAGGCUAACUGCAAGGUCUGAGGAACAGGGAGGGAGGCGAAGCCAAGGAGACAGACAGCUCUUUCUUGCCCUCUGUGGUUGAAGGGAGACACCCAGGAGUUGGUGAGGUCAGAUGAGCGUUUUUAGUUCCAUAACGGAGGCUUCAACAUGUUUGUAGGCCGAUGGGGAAGAUCCAGUUGAGAGGAAGAAAUUGAACAUUCAGGAGAGGGAAGGGAUGAUCCACAGGGCAAGAUCCUCAAAAGGGGCAGGGAAUGGGAGGUUCUGGGAAGGCUGAGGGCAGGUUUCUGUGGCAUAACAGAAGGUAGCAGAUGGACGAAAGUUUGUUUGCUUUUGGGCGAGCAAUGAUGGCUUGUUUCUCACGUGUGCCGUGUUUCCACGCGGCUCUUUUCCGGGCCUGGGCUGCCCGCCUGGCCGGUAUGCCACAAGGAACGUCCCACUGGGCCCGGUGGAGGCUGGGCAGUGCUCCCUGAUGAGAUUCUCGGGCUGCGCUUCUCCUCGUUCAUGGGAAGGCAGGUUCACGGAGCAGGCGUGGGAACCGCCGGGUGCCAGGGCUUCCUCCACUCAGGGCAGGCGCCCCAGGUCCGCGUCUUCCUCGAGGCCUUCUCCAGUGGACUGUCCCCUCCCCGACACCCAGUUCUCCCGCCGCUGGGGCCCCAGCCUCCCGUAACCUGGUGGUGGAAACGGGUGCUGAGGGGAAGAAGGGGCCCUGUACCCGGCAGCGCCCGCAGGGACCGGGCAGGAGCCGAGGCCCCGCCCGCCAGCGCCCCGGACGCUCCCCGCUCCCCGGCAGCGCGGGCGCGCCAGUCCCA